rnacentral:rRNA from 1 species
UACGUAGGGGGCAAGCGUUGUCCGGAUUUAUUGGGCGUAAAGAGCUCGUAGGCGGUUUGGUAAGUCGGGUGUGAAAUCUCCACGCUCAACGUGGAGGGGCCACUCGAUACUGCCAUGACUCGAGUCCGGUAGAGGAGUGUGGAAUUCCCGGUGUAGCGGUGGAAUGCGCAGAUAUCAGGAGGAACACCGAUGGCGAAGGCAGCUCGCUGGGACGGUACUGACGCUGAGGAGCGAAAGCGUGGGGAGCAAACAGG